AGUAAAUAGAUACCCGGUAGUCCACGCCAUAAACGAUGAGAACUAGACGUUGAGAGGGUAAGCCUCCCACGUGUCGUAGCUAAACGCGCUAAGUUCUCCGCCUGGGGAGGUACGGCCGCAAGGUUGAAACUACAAAGGAAUUGACGGGGACCCGGCACAAGGGGUGGAGCAUGUGGUUUAAUUCGAUGCAACGCGAAGAACCUUACCUGGUCUUGACAUCCUAGGAACCCUGAAGAGAUUCGGGGUGCCGCAAGGAACCUAGAGACAGGUGCUGCAUGGCUGUCGUCAGCUCGUGUCGUGAGAUGUUGGGUUAAGUCCCGCAACGAGCGCAACCCUUGUCCUUAGUUGCCAGCAUUCAGUUGGGCACUCUAAGGAGACCGCCGGUGACAAACCGGAGGAAGGUGGGAUGACGUCAAGUCAUCAUGGCCUUUAUGACCAGGGCUACACACGUGCUACAAUGGUAGAUACAGAGGGAAG
rnacentral:rRNA from 1 species